AUGAGACACCCCCACCCCUUUGCGUCUUCGUUUGCGGAACCAGAGCACGGCGACGUCACACGGAGAGAAAAGACGAAGUCCGCCGGCGUUUGCGCGUGUGUCUGGACCGCGCGCGGUGAUGGAGGAAGGGAAGUAAGCGGGUACCGGGAGGUACAGGUCCGGUCUCAGAAGCUUGCUGCUCGCUACAACAAGCGGACUGAACGCCGCUUCUACGGCUCCUCGCGGACCUCACUCAGCAGUUUGUUUGUGUCUUCACUACGACUACAUUCGGAAAUUUCACCAAGAAUGGUUUACGGACACACUGCCGCGACAAUGCUGACCCAAGAGCGGUGACCACAAGGGACCAGAAGACACAUCUGCGGUGAGAAAUUCUAGAAAGUACCACUACACCUCCCUCCCCCCUCUCUCUCUCCUACCUCCUGGACCAGCUCAGGGCGUGAUCGGAACAUCGUGGACUCACUCUCGCAACAUUCCCGUCUGUGACGUAAGCUCCUAUCUGGGACGCCGUGAGUGGGUGCUGCUCUGUUGAUGCCGCUGUUUCUGCUCACAGUUAGGUGCUGUACACCUUUGCUUUGUUGCACUCCUCUUUCGAAGUCUUCAGGAGAAAAAAAGAA